AGUGAACGCUGGCGGUAGGCCUAACACAUGCGAGUCGAACGGCAGCACAGGAGAGCUUGCUCUCUGGGUGGCGAGUGGCGGACGGGUGAGGAAUACAUCGGAAUCUACUCUGUCGUGGGGGAUACCGUAGGGAAACUUACGCUAAUACCGCAUACGACCUACGGGUGAAAGCAGGGGAUCUUCGGACCUUGCGCGAUUGAAUGAGCCGAUGUCGGAUUAGCUAGUUGGCGGGGUAAAGGCCCACCAAGGCGACGAUCCGUAGCUGGUCUGAGAGGAUGAUAAGCCACACUGGAACUGAGACACGGUCCGGACUCCUACGGGAGGCAGCAGUGGGGAAUAUUGGACAAUGGGCGCAAGCCUGAUCCAGCCAUACCGCGUGGGUGAAGAAGGCCUUCGGGUUGUAAAGCCCUUUUGUUGGGAAAGAAAUCCAGCUGGCUAAUACCCGGUUGGGAUGACGGUACCCAAAGAAUAAGCACCGGCUAACUUCGUGCCAGCCGCCGCAGUAA
rnacentral:rRNA from 1 species